UACAGAGGUGCCAAGCGUUGUUCGGAUUUAUUGGGCGUAAAGGGUGCGCAGGCGGUUGUGCAAGUCGGAUGUGAAAUCCUGGAGCCUAACUCCAGAACGGCAUUCGAAACUGCACGGCUCGAGGUCUGGAGAGGUGACUGGAAUUCUCGGUGUAGCAGUGAAAUGCGUAGAUAUCGAGAGGAACACCAGAGGCGAAAGCGAGUCACUGGACAGAACCUGACGCUGAGGCACGAAAGCCAGGGGAGCAAACGGG
rnacentral:rRNA from 1 species